GGGGCUGUGGCUCAGUGGUAGAGCAUCUGCUUGAGAAGCAGAUGGUCCCAGGUUCAAUCCCUGGCAUCUCCA